UUGUUUGUAUAUUCAGUUAUGUU
rnacentral:snRNA from 1 species